rnacentral:miRNA from 1 species
UUUCCCAAUCCACCCAUGCCUUA